AAUAGAUACCCGGGUAGUCCACGCCGUAAACGAUGAGUGCUAGGUGUUGGGGGGGUUCCACCCUCAGUGCUGAAGUUAACACAUUAAGCACUCCGCCUGGGGAGUACGACCGCAAGGUUGAAACUCAAAGGAAUUGACGGGGGCCCGCACAAGCAGUGGAGCAUGUGGUUUAAUUCGAAGCAACGCGAAGAACCUUACCAGGUCUUGACAUCCUUUGACCACCCUAGAGAUAGAGCUUUCCCCUUCGGGGGACAAAGUGACAGGUGGUGCAUGGUUGUCGUCAGCUCGUGUCGUGAGAUGUUGGGUUAAGUCCCGCAACGAGCGCAACCCUUGACCUUAGUUGCCAGCAUUCAGUUGGGCACUCUAAGGUGACUGCCGGUGACAAACCGGAGGAAGGUGGGGACGACGUCAAAUCAUCAUGCCCCUUAUGACCUGGGCUACACACGUGCUACAAUGGAUGAUACAAAGGGUUGCGAAGCCGCGAGGCCAAGCCAAUCCCAAAAAGUCAUUCUCAGUUCGGAUUGUAGGCUGCAACUCGCCUAC
rnacentral:rRNA from 1 species